rnacentral:sRNA from 1 species
GCACUUGAGCAGGGAAGAAAUCCACAAGGACUCACCAGUCUCCUGGUCUGCAGAGAAGACAGAAUCAACAUGAGCACAGCAGGAAAAGUAAUCAAAUGCAAAGCAGCUGUGCUAUGGGAGUUAAAGAAACCCUUUUCCAUUGAGGAGGUGGAGGUUGCACCUCCUAAGGCCCAUGAAGUUCGUAUUAAGAUGGUGGCUGUAGGAAUCUGUGGCACAGAUGACCACGUGGUUAGUGGUACCAUGGUGACCCCACUUCCUGUGAUUUUAGGCCAUGAGGCAGCCGGCAUCGUGGAGAGUGUUGGAGAAGGGGUGACUACAGUCAAACCAGGUACAGGAUUCACACUCAGGAAACACGAUGGUUCACCAUCCUAAGAUUUCCCAGCCUGAAUGAGGAAACAGAAGCAAUGAGGGACGAAAGGGCUUGAACAAGGUCACCGCGCAGCCAGGACUUCAGGGAUUUCCUCUUUCCCUCUCUUCCUGCCUGACUCAAGCAUGUAUGUCUUUAGGCACGCA